rnacentral:rRNA from 1 species
UUCGCAAUGCCCGAAAGGGUGACGAAGCGACGCCGCGUGUGGGAAGAAGGCCUUCGGGUUGUAAACCACUGUCGGGAGUUAAGAAAUGUAAGGAUGUUAAUAGCGUCCUUACUUGACUAAGGCUCCGGAGGAAGCCACGGCUAACUCUGUGCCAGCAGCCGCGGUAAUACAGAGGCGGCAAGCGUUGUUCGGAAUUAUUGGGCGUAAAGAGCACGUAGGCGGCUAUGUAAGUCGGUUGUGAAAGCCUUCCGCUCAACGGGAGAACAGCAGUCGAUACUGCAUAGCUUGAGUGCGGGAGGGGAGAGCGGAACUUCUGGUGGAGCGGUGAAAUGCGUAGAUAUCAGAAGGAACGCCGGCGGCGAAAGCGACUCUCUGGCCCGUAACUGACGCUGAGUGUGCGAAAGCUAGGGGAGCAAACGGGAUUAGAUACCCCGGUAGUCCUAGCCGUAAACGAUGGGCACUAAGUAGAGGGGUUUU